AAAGGCUGCGUAGUGACCUGCGGAAGGAUCAUUACCGAGUGUAGGGUUCCUAGCGAGCCCAACCUCCCACCCGUGUUUACUGUACCUUAGUUGCUUCGGCGGGCCCGCCAUUCAUGGCCGCCGGGGGCUCUCAGCCCCGGGCCCGCGCCCGCCGGAGACACCACGAACUCUGUCUGAUCUAGUGAAGUCUGAGUUGAUUGUAUCGCAAUCAGUUAAAACUUUCAACAAUGGAUCUCUUGGUUCCGGCAUCGAUGAAGAACGCAGCGAAAUGCGAUAACUAGUGUGAAUUGCAGAAUUCCGUGAAUCAUCGAGUCUUUGAACGCACAUUGCGCCCCCUGGUAUUCCGGGGGGCAUGCCUGUCCGAGCGUCAUUGCUGCCCAUCAAGCACGGCUUGUGUGUUGGGUCGUCGUCCCCUCUCCGGGGGGGACGGGCCCCAAAGGCAGCGGCGGCACCGCGUCCGAUCCUCGAGCGUAUGGGGCUUUGUCACCCGCUCUGUAGGCCCGGCCGGCGCUUGCCGAACGCAAAUCAAUCUUUUUCCAGGUUGACCUCGGAUCAGGUAGGGAUACCCGCUGAACUUAAGCAUAUCAA
rnacentral:rRNA from 1 species